rnacentral:rRNA from 1 species
UACGGGGGGGGUAAGCGUUGUUCGGAAUUACUGGGCGUAAAGGGCGCGUAGGCGGCGACCCAAGUCAGAUGUGAAAGUCCUGGGCUUAACCUGGGGACUGCAUUUGAUACUGGGUUGCUUGAAUUCGGGAGAGGAUAGCGGAAUUCCCAGUGUAGAGGUGAAAUUCGUAGAUAUUGGGAAGAACACCGGUGGCGAAGGCGGCUAUCUGGACCGACAUUGACGCUGAGGCGCGAAAGCGUGGGGAGCAAACCGG